rnacentral:rRNA from 1 species
UACGAAGGGGGCUAGCGUUGCUCGGAAUCACUGGGCGUAAAGGGUGCGUAGGCGGGUCUUUAAGUCAGGGGUGAAAUCCUGGAGCUCAACUCCAGAACUGCCUUUGAUACUGGAGAUCUUGAGUUCGGGAAGAGGUGAGUGGAACUGCGAGUGUAGAGGUGAAAUUCGUAGAUAUUCGCAAGAACACCAGUGGCGAAGGCGGCUCACUGGCCCGGUACUGACGCUGAGGUGCGAAAGCGUGGGGAGCAAACAGG